UACGGGGGGGGCAAGCGUUGUUCGGAAUUACUGGGCGUAAAGGGCUCGUAGGCGGCCAACUAAGUCGGAUGUGAAAUCCCCAGGCUUAACCUGGGAACUGCAUCCGAUACUGGAUGGCUUGAAUCCGGGAGAGGGAUGCAGAAUUCCAGGUGUAGCGGUGAAAUGCGUAGAUAUCUGGAGGAAUACCGGUGGCGAAGGCGGCAUCCUGGACCAAUACUGACACUGAGGAGCGAAAGCCAGGGGAGCAAACGGG
rnacentral:rRNA from 1 species